rnacentral:rRNA from 1 species
GCAUUAUACGGCGAAACUGCGAAUGGCUCAUUAUAUAAGUUAUCGUUUAUUUGAUAGCACCUUACUACUUGGAUAACCGUGGUAAUUCUAGAGCUAAUACAUGCUAAAAAUCCCGACUUCGGAAGGGAUGUAUUUAUUAGAUUAAAAACCAAUGCCCUCUGGGCUCUCUGGUGAUUCAUGAUAACUUCUCGAAUCGCAUGGCCUUGCGCCGGCGAUGGUUCAUUCAAAUUUCUUCCCUAUCAACUUUCGAUGUUUGGGUAGUGGCCAAACAUGGUUGCAACGGGUAACGGAGGGUUAGGGCUCGACCCCGGAGAAGGAGCCUGAGAAACGGCUACUACAUCCAAGGAAGGCAGCAGGCGCGCAAAUUACCCAAUCCCGACACGGGGAGGUAGUGACAAUAAAUACUGAUACAGGGCUCUUUUGGGUCUUGUAAUUGGAAUGAGUACAAUUUAAAUCCCUUAACGAGGAACAAUUGGAGGGCAAGUCUGGUGCCAGCAGCCGCGGUAAUUCCAGCUCCAAUAGCGUAUAUUAAAGUUGUUGUGGUUAAAAAGCUCGUAGUUGAACCUUGGGCCUGGCUGGCCGGUCCGCCUCACCGCGUGCACUGGUCCGGCCGGGCCUUUCCCUCUGUGGAACCCCAUGCCCUUCACUGGGUGUGGCGGGGAAACAGGACUUUUACUUUGAAAAAAUUAGAGUGCUCCAGGCAGGCCUAUGCUCGAAUACAUUAGCAUGGAAUAAUGAAAUAGGACGUGCGGUUCUAUUUUGUUGGUUUCUAGGACCGCCGUAAUGAUUAAUAGGGACAGUCGGGGGCAUCAGUAUUCAAUUGUCAGAGGUGAAAUUCUUGGAUUUAUUGAAGACUAACUACUGCGAAAGCAUUUGCCAAGGAUGUUUUCAUUAAUCAGGAACGAAAGUUAGGGGAUCGAAGACGAUCAGAUACCGUCGUAGUCUUAACCAUAAACUAUGCCGACUAGGGAUCGGACGAUGUUAUUUUUUGACUCGUUCGGCACCUUACGAGAAAUCAAAGUGCU